UACGUAGGGUGCGAGCGUUGUCCGGAAUUAUUGGGCGUAAGGGCUCGUAGGCGGUCUGUCGCGUCGGGAGUGAAAACUCAGGGCUUAACCCUGAGCCUGCUUCCGAUACGGGCAGACUAGAGGUAUGCAGGGGAGAACGGAAUUCCUGGUGUAGCGGUGGAAUGCGCAGAUAUCAGGAGGAACACCGGUGGCGAAGGCGGUUCUCUGGGCCGGUACUGACGCUGAGACGCGAAAGCGUGGGGAGCGAACAGG
rnacentral:rRNA from 1 species